AGAGUUUGAUUAUGGCUCAGAUUGAACGCUGGCGGCAGGCCUAACACAUGCAAGUCGAGCGGCAGCGGGAAAGUAGCUUGCUACUUUUGCCGGCGAGCGGCGGACGGGUGAGUAAUGCCUGGGGAUCUGCCCAGUCGAGGGGGAUAACAGUUGGAAACGACUGCUAAUACCGCAUACGCCCUACGGGGGAAAGCAGGGGACCUUCUGGCCUUGCGCGAUUGGAUGAACCCAGGUGGGAUUAGCUAGUUGGUGAGGUAAUGGCUCACCAAGGCGACGAUCCCUAGCUGGUCUGAGAGGAUGAUCAGCCACACUGGAACUGAGACACGGUCCAGACUCCUACGGGAGGCAGCAGUGGGGAAUAUUGCACAAUGGGGGAAACCCUGAUGCAGCCAUGCCGCGUGUGUGAAGAAGGCCUUCGGGUUGUAAAGCACUUUCAGCGAGGAGGAAAGGUUGGUAGCGAAUAACUGCCAGCUGUGACGUUACUCGCAGAAGAAGCACCGGCUAACUGGGCGUGCCAGCAGCCGCGGUAAU
rnacentral:rRNA from 1 species